UCAACUCAGAUUUGUAUGGAAUUGGAAUGUUUGCCUACGUUUGCCGCUAGGGGCGCUGUUCCAACUCCAUACAAAUUUGAGUUA
rnacentral:pre_miRNA from 1 species